CCAGGAUCCUAUUAGAAGCGCAAUAAUCGACUCAUGUAUACGGGUGACUGACAAUGGGAGAGAAAGCAUUCAAACAAAAGUAUUCUUCAUUUUCACACUUUACAAUACUUCUAAUCACAAUGAUCAACUAAAGUUGGGAGCAAGCAGUCCAGAAGAAGCCGCACUUCAUGUUCAUAACUUUCAGGAGGCA